GUGCCAGCCGCCGCGGUAAUACGGAGGGUGCAAGCGUUGUCCGGAAUCAUUGGGUGUAAAGGGUGCGUAGGCUGGCAUCUAAGUCUGGGGUGAAAUCUUGCCGCUUAACGGUAAAAUUGCCCUGGAUACUGGAUGUCUUGAAUCUGACAGAGGUCGGUGGAAUUCGUGGUGUAGCGGUGAAAUGCAUAGAUAUCACGAAGAACACCAGUGGCGAAGGCGGCCGGCUGGGUCAGUAUUGACGCUGAGGCACGAGAGCGUGGGGAGCGAACAGGAUUAGAUACCCUGGUAGUCC
rnacentral:rRNA from 1 species